rnacentral:rRNA from 1 species
CCCCUAGAUGUUCUGGGCCGCACGCGCGCUACACUGAACAGUUCAACAAGUCUUAACCUUGGCCGAUAGGUCUGGGUAAUCUUUGAACGCUGUUCGUGAUUGGGAUAGACCUUUGCAAUUAUGGGUCUUCAACGAGGAAUUCCUAGUAAACGCAAGUCAUCAGCUUGCAUUGAUUACGUCCCUGCCCUUUGUGCACACCGCCCGUCGCACCUACCGAUUGAAUGGUCCGGUGAAGCCUCCGGAUUGGCGCGCACCUCGGUGCCGCCGAGAAGUUGGCUAAACCUUACCAUUUAGAGGAAGGUGAAGUCGUAACA